UCAGAUUGAACGCUGGCGGCAGGCCUAACACAUGCAAGUCGAGCGGUAGCACAGAGAGCUUGCUCUCGGGUGACGAGCGGCGGACGGGUGAGUAAUGUCUGGGAAACUGCCUGAUGGAGGGGGAUAACUACUGGAAACGGUAGCUAAUACCGCAUAAUGUCGCAAGACCAAAGUGGGGGACCUUCGGGCCUCAUGCCAUCAGAUGUGCCCAGAUGGGAUUAGCUAGUAGGUGGGGUAACGGCUCACCUAGGCGACGAUCCCUAGCUGGUCUGAGAGGAUGACCAGCCACACUGGAACUGAGACACGGUCCAGACUCCUACGGGAGGCAGCAGUGGGGAAUAUUGCACAAUGGGCGCAAGCCUGAUGCAGCCAUGCCGCGUGUGUGAAGAAGGCCUUCGGGUUGUAAAGCACUUUCAGCGGGGAGGAAGGCGGUAAGGUUAAUAACCUCAUCGAUUGACGUUACCCGCAGAAGAAGCACCGGCUAACUCCGUGCCAGCAGCCGCGGUAAUACGGAGGGUGCAAGCGUUAAUCGGAAUUACUGGGCGUAAAGCGCACGCAGGCGGUCUGUCAAGUCGGAUGUGAAAUCCCCGGGCUCAACCUGGGAACUGCAUUCGAAACUGGCAGGCUAGAGUCUUGUAGAGGGGGGUAGAAUUCCAGGUGUAGCGGUGAAAUGCGUAGAGAUCUGGAGGAAUACCGGUGGCGAAGGCGGCCCCCUGGACAAAGACUGACGCUCAGGUGCGAAAGCGUGGGGAGCAAACAGGAUUAGAUACCCUGGUAGUCCACGCCGUAAACGAUGUCGAUUUGGAGGUUGUGCCCUUGAGGCGUGGCUUCCGGAGCUAACGCGUUAAAUCGACCGCCUGGGGAGUACGGCCGCAAGGUUAAAACUCAAAUGAAUUGACGGGGGCCCGCACAAGCGGUGGAGCAUGUGGUUUAAUUCGAUGCAACGCGAAGAACCUUACCUGGUCUUGACAUCCACAGAACUUUCCAGAGAUGGAUUGGUGCCUUCGGGAACUGUGAGACAGGUGCUGCAUGGCUGUCGUCAGCUCGUGUUGUGAAAUGUUGGGUUAAGUCCCGCAACGAGCGCAACCCUUAUCCUUUGUUGCCAGCGGUCCGGCCGGGAACUCAAAGGAGACUGCCAGUGAUAAACUGGAGGAAGGUGGGGAUGACGUCAAGUCAUCAUGGCCCUUACGACCAGGGCUACACACGUGCUACAAUGGCAUAUACAAAGAGAAGCGACCUCGCGAGAGCAAGCGGACCUCAUAAAGUAUGUCGUAGUCCGGAUUGGAGUCUGCAACUCGACUCCAUGAAGUCGGAAUCGCUAGUAAUCGUAGAUCAGAAUGCUACGGUGAAUACGUUCCCGGGCCUUGUACACACCGCCCGUCACACCAUGGGAGUGGGUUGCAAAAGAAGUAGGUAGCUUAACCUUCGGGAGGGCGCUUACCACUUUGUGAUUCAUGACUGGGGUGAAGUCGUAACAAGGUAACCGUAGGGGAACCUGCGGCUGGAUCACCUCCUU
rnacentral:rRNA from 4 species